GAUGAACGCUAGCGGCAGGCCUAACACAUGCAAGUCGAGGGGCAGCAUAAAACAAGCUUGCUUGUUUGGUGGCGACCGGCGCACGGGUGCGUAACGCGUAUGCAACCUACCCUGUACUGGGGGAUAGCCCGGAGAAGUUCGGAUUAAGACCCCAUAGUAUUCUUGAAUGGCAUCAUUUAAGACUUAAAGGUUACGGUACAGGAUGGGCAUGCGUCCUAUUAGCUAGAUGGUGAGGUAACGGCUCACCAUGGCGACGAUAGGUAGGGGGCCUGGGAGGGUGGUCCCCCACACUGGUACUGAGACACGGCCCAGACUCCUACGGGAGGCAGCAGUGAGGAAUAUUGGUCAAUGGGCGCAAGCCUGAACCAGCCAUGCCGCGUGCAGGAAGACGGUCCUAUGGAUUGUAAAACUGCUUUUAUUUGGGAAUAAACCUCCUUACGUGUAGGGAGCUGAAGGUACCGUAAGAAUAAGCACCGGCUAACUACGUGCCAGCCGCCGCCGUAACAC
rnacentral:rRNA from 1 species